UACAGAGGUCUCAAGCGUUGUUCGGAUUCAUUGGGCGUAAAGGGUGCGUAGGUGGCAUGGUAAGUCGGAUGUGAAAUCCCGGGGCUCAACCCCGGAACUGCAUUCGAUACUGCUGAGCUAGAGUACUGGAGAGGAGAUUGGAAUUUACGGUGUAGCAGUGAAAUGCGUAGAUAUCGUAAGGAAGACCAGUGGCGAAGGCGGAUCUCUGGACAGUUACUGACACUGAGGCGCGAAAGCGUGGGGAGCGAACAGG
rnacentral:rRNA from 1 species